GACGAACGCUGGCGGCGUGCUUAACACAUGCAAGUCGAACGAUGAAGCUGGAGCUUGCUCCGGUGGAUUAGUGGCGAACGGGUGAGUAACACGUGAGCAAUCUGCCCUUGACUCUGGGAUAACUGCGGGAAACUGUAGCUAAUACCGGAUACUUUCACUGGAAGGCAUCUUCUGGUGAAGAAAGAAUUUCGGUCAAGGAUGAGCUCGCGGCCUAUCAGCUUGUUGGUGGGGUAACGGCUCACCAAGGCGACGACGGGUAGCCGGCCUGAGAGGGUGACCGGCCACACUGGGACUGGGAAACUGCCCAGGCGCCUACGGGAGGCAGCAGUGGGGAAUAUUGCACAAUGGGCGCAAGCCUGAUGCAGCAACGCCGCGUGAGGGAAGAAGGCCUUCGGGUUUUAAACCUCUUUUAGCAGGGAAGAAGCGAAAGUGACGGUACCUGCAGAAAAAGCACCGGCUAACUACGUGCCAGCAGCCGCCGUAA
rnacentral:rRNA from 1 species